rfam:Lactobacillus harbinensis DSM 16991 NODE_136, whole genome shotgun sequence.
GGGGGUUUAGCUCAGAUGGGAGAGCGCCUGCUUUGCACGCAGGAGGUCAUCGGUUCGAUCCCGUUAACCUCCA